UACGUAGGUGACAAGCGUUGUCCGGAUUUACUGGGCGUAAAGAGCGCGCAGGCGGUCGUUCAAGUCGAGUGUGAAAGCCCCGGGCUCAACCUGGGAAUUGCAUUUGAGACUGCGUAGCUAGGGUGCGGAAGAGGGAAGCGGAAUUUCCGGUGUAGCGGUGAAAUGCGUAGAUAUCGGAAGGAACACCAGUGGCGAAAGCGGCUUCCUGGUCCAGCACCGACGUUCAGGCACGAAAGCGUGGGGAGCAAACAGG
rnacentral:rRNA from 1 species